CACUCGUGUAGCGUUUAUUUUGUAUUUCUCGACCCAUUUAUUGGUAGUUUCAGAUCAAUCUGUCCAGGGGUAGUUUGGAUCAAUACUUUAGAAUCUAUUAAAGCAUAUUUGAAGGCGUUAAGAAGGUGUAUUUCUUCUAUAGUCGUUGAACUUACAUUCCAAAAUGUAGUUCUUACGUGUUCCUUAAUCACCGAAGGAGGACGUUUUCCCAUGGACACUUCUUGCAGAGCCCAUAAGAAUUAGUUAAUUACAUCCUGGUUACAUCUGAAACCAUAAAGGCUAGUCCGACUAGAGUAUGUUUUACAAGCUUCUAUCGUAGCAUGUUUAUGAGCAAUUAGUGGAUUUAGUCAGUUUUCAUCAUAUUUGUUACAUAACGAAGGCGAUUGACACAAAACACCAAUAAAUCACUUGAGAUAUGAUAUGGGCAGAUUAAUACUUUCGAGUUCGCAAUUAAAGUAUUUAAAAUGGAGAUAGCUUUAUCCUUGGAGAUAAGAGAAAUAGUAAACAAGUUUAUCAAUGCUGUCAAUCAUAAUUUAUGCAAAUUCUUUAUUUUUUGCGGGCAAUGCUCGCAAAUCCGUUUAUUUAAAAUGAAUCGUCUUCUGUUCUAAAGGUAUUGACAUAUAGGUAUAAUUCCGUAUUGAAAUUAAUGUACUUUUCAUUGCUUCGAAGAUGAUCACAUGGGGGAAGAUUUUCCCCGAUGAAAUUGUAAAAUAAAAUCUAAUAUGAGACAUCGACAACUCUCUGUGUUAUUACGCAAAAAAAGUGAUUUUCUCAUCGACUUUGUUGAAGAAACGUAGCCUUUUUUUUUAAAUUCGUGGAAAUUAUUUUUAAUUUGAUUUCCUUAUACGUAUCAAAUUGUAGGUUUUUUCUCAUACAACUGCUAUAGUUGCCAUGGUAUGUAUGACAACUCCCCUCAAGAAGUUGACAACUGUCGAAAGUUUGUUAAUAUUAGCGCAACUAGCAGUUGUACACGACCUGGAUAUUGCAUAUUUUAUUAUGGAGAGGUUACGAUCAACCAUAAGCCCGUUGUCAAAACGGGAAGAAUGUGUGCUACAGAACAAUGUGCUGCCAUGAAAGGAUGGACCGCAAAAAGCAUACACUGUUCGGAUUGCAAAGGCGACUAUUGCAAUACUGACAAAUAUGAUAAAUAAGAUUACUGAUUACGUUAUUGUUUUUUCUUUAACUGAUCGUCUAAACUACAAAAUGUAAUAAUUAUGUUGUAAUAUACGUACCAUUGGAAUCCAUUUUUGAGACACCUUUUUUCUCAAUCAUCAAGUCGCAGGAAGUCUGUGGUCACUAAAAUAGAGGGAGGUGUUUAUAUUCAGGCGCACUUUACAACUCUGUAGUUUGCAGUAGGUAUUUGUGACGUUAGAGUACGCAGAAAUUUAACUUUGGACGUGUUUUGGCGGUUUGCGUUGUUGAAAAUAAACUCUAAAUAUAAUAAUAAACGAAAAUGAUGAAUGAGUAUAAACUGAUCGAAUUAAUUCAAGAUGGGACACAAAUUCAGUGCAGUUCAGAAAUAAAAUUAUUAAAUUAAAUACGUGGAAUGAAAUUUCAAAACAACUAGGGGCAACUGGUGAUGACUGCCAGAAUACUUGGAAGAGGUUACGAGAUAGAUACACUCGCAAUAAAAGAUUGGCACCCUCCGGUGCAGAAGGUGCUAGGAAAAAGUGGGACAAAGAGGAUUUAUUGCGAUUUCUGGACAAGAUUUUAGUGACACGAAGAACUACAAGUUGCGCAGCUGAAUACAGUGAAAGUAAUGGAAAUACUGAAUCGCUACCAGAAACGGAACAGAUUUUCGCACAGGAAAGUGUAGAAUUGAAUGAAGUUGAAAUUUUCGAUUCUGCAAAUGCAGAGGAUACUGGUGACAAUCAUACACAGUCACUACCCAUUAACGUGGAAAUAAUCCCAGCAGAAGUUGUAGAUUUGAAGCCUACAUCCACCUGUCACUUUUCAUCUUCGUGGUCAAUUACACUAUUUAUGUAGUCAUCUCUAACUCUGAUGCACCUUAGAAAAUGAUGUAAAGCAACUGUUGCCUUAACUAUACUGUCCACAGUGGUUGGUUGUACAAAAUCGGUUUUCUUAGAAUUCUCCACCUGGACGCCAAAA